rnacentral:piRNA from 1 species
UGCUAACUUCAUGGAAGAUGGUAAUAGGA